UAUGUGAUCGUCUCUCGCAUAUCAAUAAGCGGAGGAAAAGAAACUAACAAGGAUUCCCCUAGUAACGGCGAGUGAAGCGGGAAGAGCUCAAAUUUGAAAUCUUAAAGGGUUUCCCUUUACGAAUUGUAGUUUAAAGAAGUGUUUUCUGUUGAGGUUUUGGUAAAAGUUCUUUGGAAUAGGACAUCAUAGAGGGUGAGAAUCCCGUAUUUGACCUUUACUUUCAACUUUGUGAUACACUUUCAAAGAGUCGGAUUGUUUGGGAAUGCAGUCCAAAAUGGGUGGUAAAUUUCAUCUAAAGCUAAAUAUUGGCGAGAGACCGAUAGCGAACAAGUACCGUGAGGGAAAGAUGAAAAGAACUUUGAAAAGAGAGUUAAACAGUACGUGAAAUUGUCAAAAGGGAAGCGUUUGACACCAGUGUUGUUUUUCUGAAAAUCAAUUAAAGAACUGUUUAUGCUAAGCUGUUUAGACUUUAUCAGCUAACUGUUUAGUUUUGAGCUUUUCUUUAAUGCACUUUUCAGUUAACAAGUCAACAUCAAUUUCUUUUGCUGUAAAAAAGCUUGAGGAAGGUGGCUUGAGAUUCGUCUUAAGUGUUUAUAACCUCUUGCCUAUGCAGUCGGAGAGAUUGAGGUCUGCAGCGUAGAUCCUUCGGGGCUAAAUGCAUUUGUGCUAAGUUAUAGCAUUUUAUAGACAACUUGUAGACUAUGAUUUGUCUUGUAGCUUACUCGCUUAUGUUAUUUUACCUACGCUUAGGAUGUUGAAGAUGUAGCACAUCAU
rnacentral:rRNA from 1 species